UACGGAGGGUGCAAGCGUUAUCCGGAUUUGCUGGGUUUAAAGGGUGCGUAGGCGGAUUUGUAAGUCCGAGGUGAAAUCUCCGAGCUUAACUCGGAAACUGCCUUGGAUACUAUAAGUCUUGAAUGACGUUGAGGUUAGCGGAAUAUGUCAUGUAGCGGUGAAAUGCUUAGAUAUGACAUAGAACAUCUAUUGCGAAGGCAGCUAACUAAGCGUAUAUUGACGCUGAUGCACGAAAGCGUGGGGAUCAUCCACG
rnacentral:rRNA from 1 species